AGAGUUUGAUCCUGGCUCAGGACGAACGCUGGCGGCGUGCCUAAUACAUGCAAGUCGAGCGGAACCCUUCGGGGUUCAGCGGCGGACGGGUGAGUAACACGUGGGUAACCUGCCUGAUAGACCGGGAUAACGCUUGGAAACGAGUGCUAAUACCGGAUAGGCUCUUGAGGCGCAUGUUUCGAGAGGGAAAGAGGCUUUCG
rnacentral:rRNA from 1 species